rnacentral:rRNA from 1 species
AUUGAACGCUGGCGGAAUGCUUUACACAUGCAAGUCGAACGGCAGCACGGGGGCAACCCUGGUGGCGAGUGGCGAACGGGUGAGUAAUACAUCGGAACGUGCCCGGUCGUGGGGGAUAACGUAGCGAAAGUUACGCUAAUACCGCAUACGAUCUGAGGAUGAAAGCGGGGGACCUUCGGGCCUCGCGCGAUCGGAGCGGCCGAUGUCAGAUUAGGUAGUUGGUGGGGUAAAGGCCUACCAAGCCGACGAUCUGUAGCUGGUCUGAGAGGACGACCAGCCACACUUGGACUGAGACACGGCCCAGACUCCUACGGGAGGCAGCAGUGGGGAAUUUUGGACAAUGGGCGCAAGCCUGAUCCAGCCAUUCCGCGUGCAGGACGAAGGCCUUCGGGUUGUAAACUGCUUUUGUAUGGAACGAAAAGGCUCUGGCUAAUACCUGGGGCUCAUGACGGUACCGUAAGAAUAAGCACCGGCUAACUACGUG